rnacentral:rRNA from 1 species
CCUACGGGAGGCAGCAGUGGGGAAUAUUGCACAAUGGGGGAAACCCUGAUGCAGCGACGCCGCGUGAGUGAAGAAGUAUUUCGGUAUGUAAAGCUCUAUCAGCAGGGAAGAAGCAAGACGGUACCUGACUAAGAAGCCCCGGCUAACUACGUGCCAGCAGCCGCGGUAAUACGUAGGGGGCAAGCGUUAUCCGGAUUUACUGGGUGUAAGGGGAGCGUAGACGGUAUGGAAAGUCUGAAGGGAAAGCCCAGGGCUUAACCCUGGGACUGCUUUGGAAACUGUUAGACUAGAGUGCUGGAGAGGUAAGUGGAAUUCCUAGUGUAGCGGUGAAAUGCGUAGAUAUUAGGAGGAACACCAGUGGCGAAGGCGGCUGACUGGACAGUAACUGACGUUGAGGCUCGAAAGCGUGGGGAGCAAACAGGAUUAGAUACCCCUGGUAGUC